GCCGCUGCCAACCUAUCUAUUGCUGCAAGCUAUCCCUCGCUGCUAAGCUAUCGCUGCCAACCUAUCUACUGCUGCUAAUCUAUCGCCGCUGCUAAGCUAUCCCUCGCUGCUAAGCUAUCGCCGCUGCCAACCUAUCUAUUGCUGCAAGCUAUCCCUCGCUGCUAAGCUAUCGCUGCCAACCUCUCUAUUGCUGCAAGCUAUCCCUUGCUGCUAAGCUAUCGCUGCCAACCUAUCUAUCGCUGCCAACCUAUCUAUCGCUGCCAAUUUAUCUACCACUGCCAAUCUAUCUAUCGCUGCUAAUCUAUCGCCGCUGCCAAUCUAUCCCUCACUGCUAAGCUAUCCCUCGCUGCUAAGCUAUCACAGCCAAUCUAUCGCUGCUAAUCUAUCGCUGCCAACCUAUCUACCGCGGCGAAUCUAUCUAUCGCUGCCAAUUUAUCUACCACUGCCAAUCUAUCUAUCGCUGCUAAUCUAUCGCCGCUGCCAAUCUAUCCCUCACUGCUAAGCUAUCCCUCGCUGCUAAGCUAUCACAGCCAAUCUAUCGCUGCUAAUCUAUCGCUGCCAAUCUAUCUACUGCUGCUAAUCUAUCGCCGCUGCUAAGCUAUCCCUCGCUGCUAAGCUAUCGCCGCUGCCAACCUAUCUAUUGCUGCAAGCUAUCCCUCGCUGCUAAGCUAUCGCUGCCAACCUAUCUAUCGCUGCCAACCUAUCUAUCGCUGCCAAUUUAUCUACCACUGCCAAUCUAUCUAUUGCUGCUAAUCUAUCGCUGCUGUCAAUCUAUCUAUCGCUGCUAAUCUAUCCCUCGCUGCUAAGCUAUCGCCGCUGCCAACCUAUCUAUUGCUGCAAGCUAUCCCUCGCUGCUAAGCUAUCGCUGCCAACCUCUCUAUUGCUGCAAGCUAUCCCUCGCUGCUAAGCUAUCGCUGCCAACCUCUCUAUUGCUGCAAGCUAUCCCUCGCUGCUAAGCUAUCGCUGCCAACCUAUCUCUCGCUGCUAAACUAUCCCUCACUGCUAAGCUAUCCCUCGCUGCUAAGCUAUCCCUCACUACUAAGCUAUCUAUCACUGCUAAUCUAUUGCUGCCAACCUAUCUAUCACUGCCAAUCUAUCUAUCACUGCCAAUCUAUCGCUGCUAAUCUAUCGCUGCUAAUCUAUCACUGCUAAUCUAUCGCUGCUAAUCUAUCGCUGCCAACCUAUCUACCGCGGCGAAUCUAUCUAUCACUAUCAUUACUAGUUCAAAAUAGAACUAGAGCAUAAAUACACUAAACUUCUUUUGAUAG
rnacentral:sRNA from 1 species